UUCGAUCAUGACAUAAAAUCAUGCAUAGCUUAUGCCGUUGACAUAAAUUCUGUUGCAUAAAAAUAUUUAUGUAUUGUUUUAGCUUAUGACGCGAUUUAAUCAUCAUUACAUAAACUGAAUAGUCAUGAACGAGCCUGUUGACAUAAACUUGGCAUAAGUUGUCAUUUUCAGCCGCAGCAAGUUCUUGCGAAAAAGGGUCAUCGGCUUCCCAUUUUGACGGGAUAGAGGCAUAUUUUGUUGAACCACACAAACGGUGAGAAGAGGUAGAAAUAAAGAGGGGGAUUGCAACUGGAAGGAGAUGGAAGUCCAGACACUCUGCCACUGUGUGCCAUUGAACAAGAAAUCUCUUUUAGUAUGAAGAUUAUUCAAGAGUCAAGACUGUUGAAGACGUGACGACAUGGACCUGGUUGCACAUGGCAAGGGAACUAUCUGGUUGUACCCUGAAGUAUUCGCUUUAAGAUUUGAAAAUGAGCAAAAGUAAUAAUUUUCAUUUUUUCAGAGAUAAUAAUCAUUAUAUUGACAUUGUGGAUAUCUUUUUAUGAUUGUUAUCAUAAAAUUAUUAUAAUGUUAAUGAUGAUAGGUCAUAAUAAUACAAAUGAAUUAUAAGUAGAAAAGAAGACAACCAAAAAUGAGGAGGAAAAGAAGAAGAUGAAGAAGAAAAAGAAGAGGAGGGGUGGAAGAGGAGAAAAGGAGAAGAAUAAAUAACAUCACUGUGAGUUCCUCUUCAUGAUAUUACAUAAAUAUUUGUCUCUUUUAAAUGAAAAUAUUUAUUAAGCAUAAAAAUAGGAUUUAGUUAUUCUUGUUUUUUAAGAUGUAUUAUUAUGUAUCAUGUUUGUAGUUGUACACUUGAUUGAGGUACAUGUAUUGUAUUCAUUUAGGAUAUAAAUAAUAUGUUUUAUUUGAAUCCAUGUACCUCUUUAAAGGACAAGUCCACCCCAACAAAAAGUUGAUUUGAAUAAAAAGAGAAAAAUCCAACAAGCAUAACACUGAAAAUUUCAUCAAAAUCGGAUGUAAAAUAAGAAAGUAAUGACAUUUUAAAGUUUUGCUUAAUUUCACAAAACAGUUAUAUGCACAUUCUGGUGGGUAUGCAAAUGAGGUGACUGAUGACGUCAUCCACUCACUAUUUCUUUGGUAUUUUAUAAUAUGAAAUAUGGAAUAUUCAAUUUUUCUCCUCAUUGUCAAGUGAAAGAACGAUUAAUUCCUCCCUGAACAUGUGGAAUGAGCAUUGUUUAAUACUAUAUGAUCAGUCAAGUUGUUCCUUAUUGUCAAAUCUAUAAAAAAGAAGAAAUAUAGUAUAAUUCAAACAAUGAAAAACAAAAGAAAUAGUGAGUUAGGGACAUCAUCGACUGUCUCGUUUGAGUUGUGCAUACAAUGUUUUGUGAAAAAUAAGCAAAACUUUAAAAUGUCAUAACUUUCUUAUUUUACAUCCGAUUUUGAUGAAAUUUUCAGCGUUUUGCUAGUUUGAUUUUUCUCUUUUUAUUUAAAUCAACAUUUUCUGGGGUGGAUUUGACCUUUGAAUCAUAUUUAUACAGUCAUGAUUAAAGGACAUUGGACAGGUAACAAGAUUACAUUGUUUUACAAAUUUUAGUGUGAUUUUAUUUUAAAAGUAAUAAAAUUUACAUAAAAUGUCA